CAAAUAACCUAGGCCCUGCAACAUUGCACCCAGGUAAGAGAGCCAAAUCACCUAAGUGCUGGACCCAGGAAUGGAUUACUGUCUAUCCUACUUCCCCAAAAGAGAAUUAACAGCAUAGAAAUUAUGCCUAAAAGCCAGGUAUUUAUAUACCAGGUUUCUCUUACUGAUAACUCUGGAUUGAGUUGUUUCCAUUAAAUCAACAAUAUUAAAUGUCUUGGGGUGGAGCCAAGAUGGCCAAAUAAGAACAGCUCCAGUCUACAACUCCCAGCAUGAGCGACGCAGAAGACGGGUGAUUUCUGCAUUUCCAACUGAGGUACUGGGUUCAUCUUACUGGGAAGUGUUGGACAGUGGGUGCAGGACAGUGGAUGCAGUGCACCGAGCAUGAGCCAAAGCAGGGUGAGGCAUCGCUACACCCAGGAAGCGCAAGGGGUCAGGGAAUUCCCUUUCCUAGCCAAGCAAAGCUGUGACAGACGGUACCUAGAAAAUCGGGUCACUCCCAGCUCAAUACUGC
rnacentral:lncRNA from 1 species